UGAUGUUAUUUUUGUUUU
rnacentral:miRNA from 1 species